rnacentral:rRNA from 1 species
UCGUCCAGGGGGCCGCCUUCGCCACCGGUAUUCCUCCAGAUCUCUACGCAUUUCACCGCUACACCUGGAAUUCUACCCCCCUCUACGAGACUCAAGCUUGCCAGUUUCAAAUGCAGUUCCCAGGUUGAGCCCGGGGAUUUCACAUCUGACUUAACAAACCGCCUGCGUGCGCUUUACGCCCAGUAAUUCCGAUUAACGCUUGCACCCUCCGUAUUACCGCGGCUGCUGGCACGGAGUUAGCCGGUGCUUCUUCUGCGAGUAACGUCAAUCACUAAGGUUAUUAACCUUAAUGCCUUCCUCCUCGCUGAAAGUACUUUACAACCCGAAGGCCUUCUUCAUACACGCGGCAUGGCUGCAUCAGGCUUGCGCCCAUUGUGCAAUAUUCCCCACUGCUGCCUCCCGUAGGAGUCUGGACCGUGUCUCAGUUCCAGUGUGGCUGGUCAUCCUCUCAGACCAGCUAGGGAUCGUCGCCUUGGUGAGCCAUUACCCCACCAACUAGCUAAUCCCAUCUGGGCACAUCCGAUGGUGUGAGGCCCGAAGGUCCCCCACUUUGGUCUUGCGACGUUAUGCGGUAUUAGCUACCGUUUCCAGUAGUUAUCCCCCUCCAUCGGGCAGUUUCCCAGACAUUACUCACCCGUCCGCCACUCGUCACCCGAGAGCAAGCUCUCUGUGCUACCGUUCGACUUGCAUGUGUUAGGC